rnacentral:rRNA from 1 species
UACGUAGGUGGCGAGCGUUAUCCGGAAUUACUGGGCGUAAAGGGUGUGUAGGUGGCUGCCAUAGUCGGGCGUGAAAUCCCGGGGCUUAACCUCGGGUUUGCGUUCGAUACUUGGUGGCUGGAGUGCGGGAGAGGGAAGUGGAAUUCCUGGUGUAGCAGUGAAAUGCGUAGAGAUCAGGAGGAACACCGAUGGCGAAGGCAGCCCCCUGGGCCUGUACUGACGCUCAUGCACGAAAGCGUGGGGAGCAAACAGG